rnacentral:rRNA from 1 species
AGAGUUUGAUCCUGGCUCAGGAUGAACGCUAGCUACAGGCUUAACACAUGCAAGUCGAGGGGAAACGAUAGAGAAAGCUUGCUUUUUCUAGGCGUCGACCGGCGCACGGGUGAGUAACGCGUAUCCAACCUGCCCAUCACUUGGGGAUAACCUUGCGAAAGUAAGACUAAUACCCAAUGACGUCUCUAGAAGACAUCUGAAAGAGAUUAAAGAUUUAUCGGUGAUGGAUGGGGAUGCGUCUGAUUAGCUUGUUGGCGGGGUAACGGCCCACCAAGGCGACGAUCAGUAGGGGUUCUGAGAGGAAGGUCCCCCACAUUGGAACUGAGACACGGUCCAAACUCCUACGGGAGGCAGCAGUGAGGAAUAUUGGUCAAUGGGCGAGAGCCUGAACCAGCCAAGUAGCGUGCAGGAUGACGGCCCUAUGGGUUGUAAACUGCUUUUAUAGGGGAAUAAAGUGAGUCUCGUGAGACUUUUUGCAUGUACCUUAUGAAUAAGGACCGGCUAAUUCCGUGCCAGCAGCCGCGGUAAUACGGAAGGUCCGGGCGUUAUCCGGAUUUAUUGGGUUUAAAGGGAGCGUAGGCCGGAGAUUAAGCGUGUUGUGAAAUGUAGACGCUCAACGUCUGCACUGCAGCGCGAACUGGUUUCCUUGAGUACGCACAAAGUGGGCGGAAUUCGUGGUGUAGCGGUGAAAUGCUUAGAUAUCACGAAGAACUCCGAUUGCGAAGGCAGCUCACUGGAGCGCAACUGACGCUGAAGCUCGAAAGUGCGGGUAUCGAACAGGAUUAGAUACCCUGGUAGUCCGCACGGUAAACGAUGGAUGCCCGCUGUUGGUCUGAAUAGGUCAGCGGCCAAGCGAAAGCAUUAAGCAUCCCACCUGGGGAGUACGCCGGC